AACAGGAUGAAGUACACAUUAUGCUUGUCAUUCUGUCUGCUACUGGAGUUGUCCCAAAGAUGUUUUCAGUGAGUGCAUAUAAGCUUACAACCCAAUACUUUCAUUCAAUUACAAAAAUUGUUAUUCUAUCCACCUGCACAAUUGUCCACAGAGCACAAAAUAUUAAAGGAUGAUAGCAGAAACAAAACUGGUCCUAGGAAUGUUUCUCUCUGAGCUCCACUGAAAAGAAAAGAAGACCAAGAUGAAAAUAAUAUGAGUAACAGUAUAUCGAGCAGAAGUGGAAUGAGGGAAAGGCAGAGAUGGAGAGAAGAGAAGACUAAGACAGUGGUCUGGAGUGAUCUUCAUGGAAGUCCAUUGGAGUAGGAGCUGGAACCAAAACCAACAGGGAAAACCCAGUCCAUUAUGGUGGCUCCAUAAGGCCACUGUAACCUCAUGGAAACCCUGGACCAAACAAUGAAUAAGGCAAUACUUUGCCACACCCUCCAUGUGGUCUUGUGUAAAAGGAAGCUGAAAGUAUCCCUUUAUCCCCAACCCCCUGUUCAUAGCUUCCAAGGAGUCAACCCAUUAACCUAUUAAGCCUAUUUACCAACUGCUGAAGGUCUCUCCCAGCAGGAUGGCUUCCCUAGAGCUAUUUUCCCUUUUGGAGUCGUGGCUUGGUGACCACAGGUCUGGUUACACUGGUUGUCAGAAGCAGUCUGGUAUGGCAAAAAGAACAAUGGGACUCUAGCCAGAAGACCUAGGUUCAAAUCGAAGCUCUAAAAUCCACGGGCUAUGUGACUGUGGGCAAUUCAUUGAAGACCUCUCAACCUCAGGCUCCUCACCUGUAAAAUGAGGGUGAUGAUAUCUACACCUCCUACCUCCCCGGGGUUUUGGCUUCUCUUUACCAAGUCAGAUGCUCCGUAAACUGUAAAGUGCUAUACAGAUGCAAUCUACUACUAAGAAAAAAGAAAAAAAAAUGUGUAAAUUCUGAAUUUCAAUUCCCUGGAGUGGGAGGAGGAAGGGAGGAAAGAACAACAUUUUGGCUUUAAUAAAUAAGUCUGUCUGUUAAUAGGUCCUGAGAGGUUUCUUGAAGAUCAGAAGAGCCAUAAAGACUGGCCAAACAUUGACAGCCACUUCUCAUGUUUGACGAUUUCGUUGUAGUUAAAUACAAAUUCUUUGGUUUUAAGACACAGCAAUUUGUACAAUAUUCCUUGCAGCAGAUGGUACUCUAGGGUCACUGGCAAUGAUUCAGGAGGUCUGGGUUCUGUUCUUACCUCUGUCCCACUGGGUAACCUUGGGCAAACUUCUUGGCUCUGCACCUCUAUAUUUUGGGUGUGUAAAAGGAGGAAGAAUUGGUCCCUCUCUGCCACCACUCCUCUUUCCAUCAUCACUGAGAAGCACUUAGAGAGGUUUGCAAAGUACUUUGAAAUUGUUGAAAAGCACUAAUAGUUAUUAAAUAUUUGCUGGAUCAAAAGCCGUGAAAUGCAACUAAGGAAUAAUGCUGAGAAAGAGGACCAUACAAAACAAAUGUAAUAAACAGCUCUCAAACCAAUUAUGAUUUAGUUGAGAAGAAAAGAAAUGUUGGAAGGCAGCAUGACAUCAUGGAAAGAAAACAUGAUUUGGAAUCCAAAAGCCUGGAUAUGACUCUUGGCCCAGCUACUCCCUUGAGCCUGGACCAAUCAUUUCACUUUUGUGGGCCCCAAUGUGCUCAUCCUCAAAGUGAGGGAGAUGAGUGAGAUGGUUUCUAUGAUCUCUUCCAGCUCUGAAUCUCUAGGCUCCACUGUGGAAGCUAUGGGGAACACAUGGACUGUAAGGAGGCAUUGGUGGCCAGGAAUUGAAAACCAAUCAUCUGAGGAGCUCUGAGCUGGCUGAAAGCAGUGUUCACCUGGUGACCAACCCCCCAGACAUUGAGCAAAGGGUACUUUUCUAGGCUGGCAGAUCAUGACAGAUGCUGGAUCUACACUC